AGCUUCACGCAGUGGCAAUAUCGUAGCCAAUGAGGUUUAUCCGAGGCGUGAUUAAUGCUAAUUGAAAACUUUUCCCAAGGCCGGGUGUGGUGGCUCAAGCCUGUAAUCCAAGCACUUUGGGAGGCCGAGGCGGGU
ensembl:snRNA U4 U4 spliceosomal RNA